rnacentral:rRNA from 1 species
UGAGCAAUCUGCCCUUCUCUUCGGAAUAAGCGUGGGAAACCGCGUCUAAUGCCGAAUACGACCUCCUUUCGCAUGAUCGGAGGUGGAAAGCUCCGGGCGGAGAAGGAUGAGCUCGCGGCCUAUCAGCUAGUUGGUGUGGGUAAUGGCCCACCAAGGCGACGACGGGUAGCCGGCCUGAGAGGGUGACCGGCCACACUGGGACUGAGACACGGCCCAGACCUCCGUACGGGGAGGCAGCG